AAGUCUCUUAAAAAUAUAUAACAUAAGUAUUUUAUAGUCAAUAUUUUCUUCUAAUAAAUACGUGUGGUUGUUCAUUUAUAAUUAUUAUUUAUCAUGUGUUUACUAAACAUAUUCCCUCCAACCUCUUUGUUUAUCAUAGAGUUUAUCAUAUUUUAAUAAGUUAUACUGAACAAUCUUUUCUGGUCACUACCAUGUUUUUCAUGCUUCAAUCAUUUACCCUAACAGCGCCUCAACUCUGUGUACUCCCCUAAACGGCUUCCUUGCCUACUGGUUUCCACUUUAGGAUGACAUAAUCUGGGCUUAACUACUCUCAGCAUUAUUAGACAGGCAAACUUUCUCAAGAUGUUCUUUAUAACAGUACUAUAACAUGAUAAACAAUUAUGAUAUUCAAGAGAUUAUAAGGAAUAUAUGAGUUUAGUUAAACAUGAUUAUGAAUAAACUUACCUGGUUUUGUAACUCGUUUGAAUGCUCCAUAGCUGUUUUAGAUACUUGUAAAUAACUCAGAUAUUUCUUAUAAGAGAGAAUAUUAGAGAGAGAAGGUAAGGGUGAGGAUGUCUGAGGAUGUCCUUCCUUCCUCGGAUUUACAUUCUAUAUAAAGAAAAUUAAAACGACUCCUACUAUUUACAAAUGACUCCUACUAUUCAUGAACGACCUUUACUGUUCAUGAUUAUGACAUAUACUAUUUACUUUACUACUUUUUUACAUGACUCUUACUAUUCAUAAACGACCUUUACUGUUCAUGAUUAUGACAUAUACUAUUUACUUUAUGACUCUUACUAUUCAUGAACGACCUUUACUGUUCAUGAAUGCGACUAGUACUAUUUACUUUACAUUAUAUGUUUCCAGUAGCUGUCUUCUUCUUUUGUCUUCUUGUUGAUACCUUCAUUCUAGUUGGACUUCUGGUACAUAGUUAUCAUCUCCGUUGCACUUUGAACAUAUGUGGUCUGGAUAUUUGUGUCCUACUAGUUUGCAAUAU
rnacentral:lncRNA from 1 species